GAUGAACGCUGGCGGCGUGCCUAAUACAUGCAAGUCGAGCGAAUGGAUUAAGAGCUUGCUCUUAUGAAGUUAGCGGCGGACGGGUGAGUAACACGUGGGUAACCUGCCCAUAAGACUGGGAUAGCUCCGGGAAACCGGGGCUAAUACCGGAUAACAUUUUGAACCGCAUGGUUCGAAAUUGAAAGGCGGCUUCGGCUGUCACUUAUGGAUGGACCCGCGUCGCAUUAGCUAGUUGGCGAGGUAACGGCUCACCAAGGCAACGAUGCGUAGCCGACCGGGGAGGGUGAUCGGCCACACUGGGACUGAGACACGGCCCAGACUCCUACGGGAGGCAGCAGUAGGGAAUCUUCCGCAAUGGACGAAAGUCUGACGGAGCAACGCCGCGUGAGUGAUGAAGGCUUUCGGGUCGUAAAACUCUGUUGUUAGGGAAGAACAAGUGCUAGUUGAAUAAGCUGGCACCUUGACGGUACCUAACCAGAAAGCCACGGCUAACUACGUGCCAGCCGCCGCAGUAA
rnacentral:rRNA from 1 species